rnacentral:rRNA from 2 species
AGAGUUUGAUCCUGGCUCAGGACGAACGCUGGCGGCGUGCCUAAUACAUGCAAGUAGAACGCUGAAGAGAGGAGCUUGCUCUUCUUGGAUGAGUUGCGAACGGGUGAGUAACGCGUAGGUAACCUGCCUUGUAGCGGGGGAUAACUAUUGGAAACGAUAGCUAAUACCGCAUAACAAUGGGUGACACAUGUCAUUUAUUUGAAAGGGGCAAUUGCUCCACUACAAGAUGGACCUGCGUUGUAUUAGCUAGUAGGUGAGGUAACGGCUCACCUAGGCGACGAUACAUAGCCGACCUGAGAGGGUGAUCGGCCACACUGGGACUGAGACACGGCCCAGACUCCUACGGGAGGCAGCAGUAGGGAAUCUUCGGCAAUGGGGGCAACCCUGACCGAGCAACGCCGCGUGAGUGAAGAAGGUUUUCGGAUCGUAAAGCUCUGUUGUAAGUCAAGAACGAGUGUGAGAGUGGAAAGUUCACACUGUGACGGUAGCUUACCAGAAAGGGACGGCUAACUACGUGCCAGCAGCCGCGGUAAUACGUAGGUCCCGAGCGUUGUCCGGAUUUAUUGGGCGUAAAGCGAGCGCAGGCGGUUUGAUAAGUCUGAAGUUAAAGGCUGUGGCUCAACCAUAGUUCGCUUUGGAAACUGUCAAACUUGAGUGCAGAAGGGGAGAGUGGAAUUCCAUGUGUAGCGGUGAAAUGCGUAGAUAUAUGGAGGAACACCGGUGGCGAAAGCGGCUCUCUGGUCUGUAACUGACGCUGAGGCUCGAAAGCGUGGGGAGCAAACAGGAUUAGAUACCCUGGUAGUCCACGCC